UACGUAGGGUGCGAGCGUUGUCCGGAAUUAUUGGGCGUAAAGGGCUCGUAGGCGGUCUGUCGCGUCGAAAGUGAAAACCCAGGGCUUAACCCUGGGCCUGCUUCCGAUACGGGCAGACUAGAGGUAUGCAGGGGAGAACGGAAUUCCUGGUGUAGCGGUGGAAAUGACGCAGAUAUCAGGAGGAACACCGGUGGCGAAGGCGGUUCUCUGGGCAUUACCUGACGCUGAGGCGCGAAAGCUAGGGUAGCAAACGGGAUUAUGAAACCUACGGUAG
rnacentral:rRNA from 1 species